GCGGGCAGCAUAGGUGGUUUCAUAUAUCGACAUCUUUAUCUAAAUUUAUACAAUGUUCUACGUAUGUUGCAUAGCAUACAGAGUUCCCAACAUAUUGUUGAGGAUGAAAGUCCUUAUUCCAUUGUCUAUAAAAUCUUGUUACUAUUCACUUUCGGCUGUUCAACAAAUAUUCGUAUCUUACUUUUAACUUCUUUUUCCUGGCUGAAUAAAGAUUUUUUAUGGACAUAUUGCGUAAUAAUUGUCCAAAUUAAAGUUUCAGGAUGUACGCUAUUGACCAUUGGGGAAUUCCCUGCUUAUCAAAACGAGACAACGGAUAUUUUGUAUAUUAAUUCUUAUUGCCCUAUUUAGAACGUUAAUGAUAAGUCUAUGUUCCAUCAGUCUCCAUCUCGGAACAGCUUUACAUUCUAUAUGCUGCAUGUACACUGAACCAAAACAUAUGAGAAAUACAUGCAUGCCGUUUAGUCAGCUAUGCAAGACCCCGACAUGAAAACGAGAAAACUAACAACAAAAUUUGUAACAAUACACUUUACGAAAUAUAAAAUAACCGACAUGAACCAAAGACAACUACUGAACCAAAGGCUCACGACUUGGGAGAGGCAUGCACGACGGAGUUAAAAUGUCUGUGAGCGCUUGACCCUCCCCAAACCUUGGGCAACGACACAACAACACAACACACGAACAAACUGUUAAAACAGUUACAAACUCAAUAAGCUGUUACGGAGCACAAACACAACUACAUGUCAUAUUUAUAUACCUUAAAGUAGUUCGAUAUAUCAGAUGAUACUUAAAUAGCUUCUGCUUUAUUUUGCUUUUGCAUAUUAUUAAUUUAUACAUAUAUAUUUUUUUUAAAAACCCGGAGAACUGUAAUUGGUCUUAUCCUUGCCCUGUUGUCCUAAGAUAAUAGUUGCCAGGCUUAUUGGCAAUCAGCAUCCCUCGAAGGACAACAAAACAAGUAUGUGAACAACUCCAUGUUAUCGUAUGAGCUGCAACAAUGAGCAAAACCGAAACUAUACAAUAUGCUAUACAUGGCACCGGGAUGACAAAAGUGUAUAAUAAUAUUAAACUAUAGGAACAAGCUUCAUGUCAUCGAAUCAUGACAAUAUUAUAAACUAACAAAUGGUGGUGGCAAAUGUCGAAUUCAAACAAGUUUCCUAGCCUUUAAAAUUAAGCCACAGAAAUGGGAAACUAGGCACAUGUUGGAAAAUAAACGACUGGGACUGGGCGUAUCUUCAAAACGAACCUUCAGGAACUACGCACAUAUUCUUUAAACAUGGAAACGACAGGGACAGGGCACAUCUCCGAAGAAAAGAAAUAAUAGGUACAGAGCACACAUUCGUACAAAACCGACAUGGACUGGUUAUAUCUUCGAAAAGAAUCGACAGGAUUGGGCAUAUCUUCAAAAAGAAUCGACAGAACAAUUAAGGGUGUAGCAUACUCGUAUAUCAACUAUAUACGUUAGAUAAUCCAUGCAGACAUUUGGAGACUUGUAUAUGUUUUAAACAUAUAUUGUCUUAUAUAAAUGACAGUAGAUCCUUAA
rnacentral:lncRNA from 1 species